CAACUAUCCCUUUCAAUUAAUUGCCACUAUCAAAAGGAUGCCCGAUCUUAAAUGCCUGGAGGAAUAUAGUCUGCCAGUGCACAGCCUUCCAAAGAAGACCUAUUUUCGACUAAGAACCCUGAAAGAAAUAGGGGGAAGGUGUCCAACACAUCCCCAAAUAGGAUAACGCAUAUUCGGGCCCUCACAUGAAUGCCAGCAACC
rnacentral:lncRNA from 1 species